AUACUUGCCUGGCAGGAGAGAUACCAUGACCACAAAUGUGGUUCUCCUGGGGCGAGUCUUAUCCAUUGCACUCCAGAUGUGCUGACCCCUGCGGUUUCCCCAAAUGUGGGAGACCCAGCUGCAUAGUUUGUGGUAGUUGGGGACUGCGUUAGUGCUCCCGUG